rnacentral:lncRNA from 1 species
UCGGCCACAAGCGCCUCGACCCCUCGGUCCCACGCGCGCGACCAGCCUGCCCGCGCCGAACUCCUCGGCCACAGCCUACCCGAGACCUCCUCGGCCACAGCCUACCCGAGACCUCCUCGGUCCAUAGCAUGCCCGAGACCUCCUCGGCCACAGCAUGCCCGAGACCUCCUCGGCCACAGCCUACCCGUGACCUCCUCGACCAUAGCAUGCCCGAGAGCUCCUCGGCCACAGCCUACCCGAGACCUCCUCGGCCAUAGCAUGCCCGAGACCUCCUCGGCCACAGCCUACCCGAGACAUCCUCGGCCACGGC